GUGUCAGCCGCCGCGGUAAUACGUAGGGGUCGAGCGUUGUCCGGACUUACUGGGCGUAAAGCGUGGGUAGGUGGAUCGUGAUGUGCCGUGUGAAAGCGCCGCGCUUCUCGCGGCGAGGUCGCGGUAGACACACGAUCUAGAGGCACGGAGAGGGGCGUAGAAUUCCCGGUGUAGUGGUGAAAUGCGUAGAUAUCGGGAGGAAUACCAGUGGCGCAAGCGGCGCCCUGGCCGUGACCUGACACUGAGCCACGACGGCGUGGGGAGCAAACGGGAUUAGAAACCCUCGUAGUCC
rnacentral:rRNA from 1 species